CAAUAGCGUAUAUUUAAGUUGUUGCAGUUAAAAAGCUCGUAGUCGGAUUUUGGCUGAGAACGAUCGGUACGCCGUUAGGUGUGCACUGAUUGGUCUCAGCUUCCUGGUGAGGAGGUGUGCUUCACGGCCACUUAGUCACCGUGGUUACUUUGAAAAAAUUAGAGUGUUCAAAGCGGGCUUACGCUUGAAUAUAUUAGCAUGGAAUAACACCAUAGGACUCCUGUCCUAUUUCGUUGGUCUCGGGACGGGAGUAAUGAUUAAGAGGAACAGUUGGGGGCAUUCGUAUUUCAUUGUCAGAGGUGAAAUUCUUGGAUUUAUGAAAGACGAACUUCUGCGAAAGCAUUUGCCAAGGAUGUUUUCAUUGA
rnacentral:rRNA from 1 species